rnacentral:rRNA from 1 species
AACGAACGCUGGCGGCAUGCCUAACACAUGCAAGUCGAACGAGACCUUCGGAACUAGUGGCGCACGGGUGCGUAACGCGUCGGAACCUGCCCUUAGGCUCGGAAUAACUCCCCGACAGGGGUGCUAAUACCGGAUAAUGUCUGCUGACCAAAGAUUUAUCGCGUUUGUAUGGGCCCGCGUUGUAUUAGCUAGUUGGUAUGGUAAAAGCCUACCAAGGCGACGAUCGAUAGCGGGUCUGAGAGGAUGAUCAGCCACACUGGGACUGAGACGCGGCCCAGACUACUGCGGGAGGCAGCAGUGGGUAAUCUUGGACAAUCGGCGGAAGCCUGAUCCAGCAAUGCCGCUUGAGUGAUGAAGGCCUUAGGGUUGUAAAGCUCUUUUACCCGGGAUGAUAAUGACAGUACCGGGAGAAUAAGCUCCGGCUAACUCCGUG